rnacentral:ncRNA from 1 species
CUGACACGCGCGGGAGAGACCUGCCGAUUCGCUUUGCGGGUCGAAAGGCGCCGAAGGAGCAACCGCCCCGGAAUCUCUCAGGCAAAAGGACCGCGCGGGUCGA